GGAGGUAAGGCUUAAAGGAUAGAGUAUCUGCCUAGCAUGUACAAAGCCCUGAGUUCAAUCCCCAGUACUUUUA
rnacentral:tRNA from 1 species